rnacentral:tRNA from 1 species
UAUAUUAUAGUUCAAAUUAGAAUGCAAACUUGUGGAGUUUGAGGCAUAAGGGGACUUAUUAUUAUAA